CCACCUCCACUCUCCUGCCCACUACCGCCACCACCACCACCGCCCUCUGCCCCUGUCCUUUCAAUUUCCUCCACCGCCUUCCAUCGGAAUCCCUCUUUUGCCACUCCCUCCAAUGCCCUUCUUCCCCUUCCCCCCUUCUUAACCUCGACCCCCUCCUACUCCAAUCACUACGCUACACCAACACUCUGAAACCCUCCCAACAACUCUUUAAUCAGAACCGCGUCCUUCAAACCAUACACGAUCCCAACUCCGACCUCUGCUUCUCCCUCGACGAUUAUUGCGACUUUGGUCCCAAUUUCUUCUACCCUAAUGGUGUGAAACUUCAAGUUCUAGCCCCCUAAUCUUCCAAGUACUGUUUUUAUUUUGUUUUGUUUUUUUUUUUUUCUUCUAGUGUUUCUGAACUUGAUUUUCGAUUUCUCUAUUUUACAGGCAAAUCAACCGAAGAACAACUCAAACCUCUCUUCGAUUACCACCGUGCUCAACCCUUCGAUGUUGUCUGCCUCAAUGAUGAUUGUUCAGAUUCAUCCCCAACUUUCUCUCCCAAACGAAGGAAGCAUUCGUAUACCACUGUUGAGAAGGUAGAUAAGAAUGAGAAAUUCAUAGCGGUUGUUGAUUGUGAAGAUAAGGAAGAGGAUGAUUGGCUAUCUCCACCUCCUAAAGUUUCAGUUGAUACACUGAAACUUGGUGAGGAUUCAACUAUAAAGGAG